GAUGAACGCUGGCGGCGUGCCUAAUACAUGCAAGUCGAGCGAACGGACGAGAAGCUUGCGUCUCUGAUGUUAGCGGCGGACGGGUGAGUAACACGUGGAUAACCUACCUAUAAGACUGGGAUAACUUCGGGAAACCGGAGCUAAUACCGGAUAAUAUUUUGAACCGCAGGGUUCAAAAGUGAAAGACGGUCUUGCUGUCACUUAUAGGUGGAUCCGCGCUGCAUUAGCUAGUUGGUAAGGUAACGGCUUACCAAGGCAACGAUGCAUAGCCGACCUGAGAGGGUGAUCGGCCACACUGGAACUGAGACACGGUCCAGACUCCUACGGGAGGCAGCAGUAGGGAAUCUUCCGCAAUGGGCGAAAGCCUGACGGAGCAACGCCGAGUGCGUGAUGAAGGUCUUCGGAUCGUAAAACUCUGUUAUUAGGGAAGAACAUAUGUGUCAGUAACUGUGCACAUCUUGACGGUACCUAAUCAGAAAGCCACGGCUAACUACGUG
rnacentral:rRNA from 1 species